UAUGAACGCUAGCUACAGGCUUAACACAUGCAAGUCGAGGGGAAACGAUGAGAGAGCUUGCUCUCUUAGUCGUCGACCGGCGCACGGGUGAGUAACGCGUAUCCAACCUGCCUCUGACCAAGGGAUAACCCGUCGAAAGUCGGACUAAUACCUUAUGCAGUCGUCGGAAGUCAUCUGAUGACGACGAAAGAUUUCAUCGGUGAGAGAUGGGGAUGCGUCUGAUUAGCUUGUUGGCGGGGUAACGGCCCACCAAGGCGACGAUCAGUAGGGGUUCUGAGAGGAAGGUCCCCCACAUUGGAACUGAGACACGGUCCAAACUCCUACGGGAGGCAGCAGUGAGGAAUAUUGGUCAAUGGGCGUAAGCCUGAACCAGCCAAGUAGCGUGCAGGAUGACGGCCCUAUGGGUUGUAAACUGCUUUUAUGCGGGGAUAAAGUGAGGGACGUGUCCUUCAUUGCAGGUACCGCAUGAAUAAGGACCGGCUAAUUCCGUG
rnacentral:rRNA from 1 species